GCGGCCGUGGCGAAAUGGCAGACGCACCGGAUUUAGGAUCCGGCGAGGGCAACCCUCAAUGGGAGUUCGAGUCUCCCCGGCCGCA
rnacentral:tRNA from 1 species